UACGUAGGGGCCUAGCGUUGUCCGGAUUUAUUGGGCGUAAAGAGCUCGUAGGCGGUCUGUCGCGUCGGCUGUGAAAUCCCGAGGCUCAACCUCGGGUCUGCAGUCGAUACGGGCAAACUAGAGUAUUGCAGGGGAGACUGGAAUUCCUGGUGUAGCGGUGAAAUGCGCAGAUAUCAGGAGGAACACCGGUGGCGAAGGCGGGUCUCUGGGCAAUAACUGACGCUGAGGAAGCGAAAGCCGUGGGGAGCGAACAGG
rnacentral:rRNA from 1 species